GUGGGGAAUCUUAGACAAUGGGCGCAAGCCUGAUCUAGCCAUGCCGCGUGAGCGAUGAAGGCCUUAGGGUUGUAAAGCUCUUUCAGGGGGGAAGAUAAUGACGGUACCCCCAGAAGAAGCCCCGGCUAACUCCGUGCCAGCAGCCGCGGUAAUACGGAGGGGGCUAGCGUUGUUCGGAAUUACUGGGCGUAAAGCGCACGUAGGCGGACCAGAAAGUCAGGGGUGAAAUCCGGGGGCUCAACCCCGGAACUGCCUUUGAAACUCCUGGUCUUGAGGUCGAGAGAGGUGAGUGGAAUUCCGAGUGUAGAGGUGAAAUUCGUAGAUAUUCGGAGGAACACCAGUGGCGAAGGCGGCUCACUGGCUCGAUACUGACGCUGAGGUGCGAAAGCGUGGGGAGCAAACAGGAUUAGAAACCCCGGUAGUCC
rnacentral:rRNA from 1 species